GACGAACGCUGGCGGGGUUGUUUAACACAUGCCUGUCGAACGGAAAGGCCCUGCUUUUGUGGGGUGCUCGAGUGGCGAACGGGUGAGUAACACGUGAGUAACCUGCCCUUGACUUUGGGAUAACUUCAGGAAACUGGGGCUAAUACCGGAUAGGAGCUCCUGCUGCAUGGUGGGGGUUGGAAAGUUUCGGCGGUUGGGGAUGGACUCGCGGCUUAUCAGCUUGUUGGUGGGGUAGUGGCUUACCAAGGCUUUGACGGGUAGCCGGCCUGAGAGGGUGACCGGCCACAUUGGGACUGAGAUACGGCCCAGACUCCUACGGGAGGCAGCAGUGGGGAAUAUUGCACAAUGGGCGGAAGCCUGAUGCAGCAACGCCGCGUGCGGGAUGACGGCCUUCGGGUUGUAAACCGCUUUCGCCUGUGACGAAGCGUGAGUGACGGUAAUGGGUAAAGAAGCACCGGCUAACUACGUGCCAGCAGCCGCGGUGAUACGUAGGGUGCGAGCGUUGUCCGGAUUUAUUGGGCGUAAAGGGCUCGUAGGUGGUUGAUCGCGUCGGAAGUGUAAUCUUGGGGCUUAACCCUGAGCGUGCUUUCGAUACGGGUUGACUUGAGGAAGGUAGGGGAGAAUGGAAUUCCUGGUGGAGCGGUGGAAUGCGCAGAUAUCAGGAGGAACACCAGUGGCGAAGGCGGUUCUCUGGGCCUUUCCUGACGCUGAGGAGCGAAAGCGUGGGGAGCGAACAGGCUUAGAUACCCUGGUAGUCCACGCUGUAAACGGUGGGUACUAGGUGUGGGGUCCAUUCCACGGGUUCCGUGCCGUAGCUAACGCUUUAAGUACCCCGCCUGGGGAGUACGGCCGCAAGGCUAAAACUCAAAGGAAUUGACGGGGCCCCGCACAAGCGGUGGAGCAUGCGGAUUAAUUCGAUGCAACGCGUAGAACCUUACCUGGGUUUGACAUGGAUCGGGAGUGCUCAGAGAUGGGUGUGCCUCUUUUGGGGUCGGUUCACAGGUGGUGCAUGGCUGUCGUCAGCUCGUGUCGUGAGAUGUUGGGUUAAAUCCCGCAACGAGCGCAACCCUUGUUCACUGUUGCCCGCCCGUUAUGGUGGGGAACUCCGUGGAGACCGCCGGGGUCAACUCGGAGAAAGGGGGGGAAUGACGUCAGCCUCUUGCCCCCUUAGGUCCAGGGCUUCCCCCCAUGCUAACAACGGCUGGGUACAAGAAAGUGGCCAAACCUGGUGGAGGAUGAACCGAACCCCCGGAAAACCCCGUCCUCACUUCGGAGUGGGGUCUGCNNCUCGCCCUCCUGNNGUCGGNGUCGCUNGUNUCGCNGUCNGCNNCGCUGCG
rnacentral:rRNA from 1 species